UACAGAGGGUGCAAGCGUUAAUCGGAUUUACUGGGCGUAAAGCGUGCGCAGGCGGUCCGCUAAGACAGAUGUGAAAUCCCCGGGCUUAACCUGGGAACUGCAUUGGUGACUGGCAGGCUAGAGUAUGGCAGAGGGGGGUAGAAUUCCACGUGUAGCAGUGAAAUGCGUAGAGAUGUGGAGGAAUACCGAUAGCGAAGGCAGCCCCCUGGGCCAAUACUGACGCUCAUGCACGAAAGCGUGGGGAGCAAACAGG
rnacentral:rRNA from 1 species